GCGAGAGUGGCGGAACCCGGCAGACGCGCCGGACUUAGGAUCCGGUGCCCGAAAGGGCGUGGGGGUUCAAAUCCCCCCUCUCGCACCG
rnacentral:tRNA from 1 species